AAGACUAUACUUUCAGGGAUCAUUUCUAUAGUAUCCAACCAGUGGUGGGAUUCAAAAAUUUUUACUACCAGUUCUGUGGAUGUAGCUUGGUAGAAA
rnacentral:snoRNA from 1 species